GGAAAUAUAGCCAAGUGGUAAGGCGGGGGAUUGCAAAUCCCUUAUCCCCAGUUCGAAUCUGGGUAUUUCCU
rnacentral:tRNA from 1 species